CCUACGGGAGGCAGCAGUGGGGAAUAUUGGGCAAUGGGCGAAAGCCUGACCCAGCGACGCCGCGUGAGGGACGAAGGCCUUCGGGUUGUAAACCUCUUUCAGCAGGGAAGAAGCGAAAGUGACGGUACCUGCAGAAGAAGCACCGGCUAACUACGUGCCAGCAGCCGCGGUAAUACGUAGGGUGCAAGCGUUGUCCGGAAUUAUUGGGCGUAAAGAGCUCGUAGGUGGUUUGCCACGUCGGAUGUGAAAACCUGAGGCUUAACCUCAGGCCUGCAUUCGAUACGGGCAGACUAGAGUGUGGUAGGGGAGACUGGAAUUCCUGGUGUAGCGGUGAAAUGCGCAGAUAUCAGGAGGAACACCGGUGGCGAAGGCGGGUCUCUGGGCCAUAACUGACACUGAGGAGCGAAAGCGUGGGGAGCAAACAGGAUUAGAUACCCUGGUAGUCCACGCCGUAAACGGUGGGCACUAGAUGUGGGGACCUUCCGACGGUCUCUGCGUCGCAGCUAACGCAUUAAGUGCCCCGCCUGGGGAGUACGGCCGCAAGGCUAAAACUCAAAGGAAUUGACGG
rnacentral:rRNA from 1 species